AUCCCUCAGUUCAUGAGCGUGACGAUUGGGUGUUCUUAUCUUAUGCAUGAGAGGUGCCUCCCUCAAACCUUGUUACAAUGUGGGCACAUUACCUGUCUGAUG